rnacentral:rRNA from 1 species
UACAGAGGGUGCAAGCGUUGUUCGGAAUUAUUGGGCGUAAAGCGCGUGUAGGCGGUUGCCUAAGUCUGGUGUGAAAUCCUGGGGCUUAACUCCGGAAGUGCACUGGAUACUGGGUGACUAGAGGACGAGAGAGGACAAUGGAAUUCCUGGUGUAGGGGUGAAAUCCGUAGAUAUCAGGAGGAACAUCGGUGGCGAAGGCGGUUGUCUGGCUCGUAUCUGACGCUGAGACGCGAAAGCGUGGGGAGCAAACAGG